rnacentral:rRNA from 1 species
AGUGAACGCUGGCGGUAGGCCUAACACAUGCAAGUCGAACGGCAGCACAGUAAGAGCUUGCUCUUACGGGUGGCGAGUGGCGGACGGGUGAGGAAUACAUCGGAAUCUACUUUUUCGUGGGGGAUAACGUAGGGAAACUUACGCUAAUACCGCAUACGACCUACGGGUGAAAGCAGGGGAUCUUCGGACCUUGCGCGAUUGAAUGAGCCGAUGUCGGAUUAGCUAGUUGGCGGGGUAAAGGCCCACCAAGGCGACGAUCCGUAGCUGGUCUGAGAGGAUGAUCAGCCACACUGGAACUGAGACACGGUCCAGAGUCCUACGGGAGGCAGCAGUGGGGAAUAUUGGACAAUAGGCGCAAGCCUGAUCCAGCCAUACCGCGUGGGUGAAGAAGGCCUUCGGGUUGUAAAGCCCUUUUGUUGGGAAAGAAAAGCAGCAGGUUAAUACCCCGCUGUUCUGACGGUACCCAAAGAAUAAGCACCGGCUAACUUCGUG